rnacentral:rRNA from 1 species
UACGUAGGGGGCAAGCGUUGUCCGGAUUUAUUGGGCGUAAAGAGCGUGUAGGCGGCCUGAAAGGUCAGCUGUGAAAACUCGAGGCUCAACCUCGAGACGUCGGUUGAAACCAUCUGGCUAGAGUCCGGAAGAGGAGUGUGGAAUUCCCGGUGUAGCGGUGAAAUGCGCAGAUAUCGGGAGGAACACCUGUGGCGAAAGCGGCUCACUGGACCACAACUGACGCUGAGGCGCGAAAGCUAGGGGAGCAAACAGG